GCCAGUUCGUUGAGUGUGUGUGUGCUGGACACUGCAUCAUCGUGGGUCCUGUCCAUCGCCGCAUGCUCGUGACAGUGUCUUACAACUACAAAGGAACCAUACUCCUUCACCUGGGUUGAUUCACGUAGGGGUUCUGGGAAGGAUGGUGAAUCGAGAAGUUGAUUCUCAGUUUCAGAAGAACCAGUGUAUUUUCCAUCCUAGCUGUUGAACCACUGACCUGAUCUACACCUUCAGAAUUAACAAAAUGGAGUGCAACACCUUGUGUUGAAGGGCUGUGGGGCGUGGUUAUAGUUUGCAUAUGCGGUUUCCCAGAAAUGGACCGAAGCUGUCGUUGAGAGGAAAAGAAAAGAAGAAAAGACCAUGGAAACGUACAACUUGUUUUUGCCAAGUCAUCCCUGGCCUGAAAUCAAUGUUAUUUUAUUUUUAAUUUUGUUGUUUUGCUACAUGUUGAGCCAACACCAAAGAGAAACAAUAGGAGGGUUUCUUA